rnacentral:rRNA from 1 species
UCCCUAGUAACUGCGAGUGAAGCGGGAAGAGCUCAAAUUUAAAAUCUGGCGGCUUCGUCGUCCGAGUUGUAAUUUAGAGAAGCGUUUUCCGCGUCGGACCGUGUACAAGUCUCCUGGAACGGAGCGUCGUAGAGGGUGAGAAUCCCGUCUUUGACACGGACAGCCGGUGCUAUGUGAUACGCUCUCGAAGAGUCGAGUUGUUUGGGAAUGCAGCUCAAAAUGGGUGGUGAACUCCAUCUAAAGCUAAAUAUUGGCGAGAGACCGAUAGCGAACAAGUACCGUGAGGGAAAGAUGAAAAGCACUUUGGAAAGAGAGUGAAACAGUACGUGAAAUUGCUGAAAGGGAAACGCUUGAAGUCAGUCGCGUCCCGCGGAACUCAGCCCUCGUGGUGUACUUUCCGUGGGACGGGCCAGCAUCACUUUUGGUCGCCGGAGAAGGGCGGGGGAAAUGUGGCACCCUCGGGUGUGUUAUAGUCCUCCGUCGUAUACGGCGGCCGGGAGUGAGGACCGCCUUUUGCAGGAUGCUGGCGUAAUGGCUUUAAACGACCCGUCUUGAAACACGGACCAAGGAGUCUAACAUGCCCGCGAGUGUUCGGGUGGCAAACCCGUGCGCGUAAUGAAAGUGAAAGUUGGGAAGGCUGUCGCGGCCUGCACCGACGCCCGGACUUGAGGCUUGCCGACGGUUCUGCGGUAGAGCGUGUAUGUUGGGACCCGAAAGAUGGUGAACUAUGCCUGAAUAGGGUGAAGCCAGAGGAAACUCUGGUGGAGGCUCGUAGCGAUUCUGACGUGCAAAUCGAUCGUCGAAUUUGGGUAUAGGGCGAAAGACUAAUCGA